rnacentral:rRNA from 1 species
UACGGGGGGAGCAAGCGUUGUUCGGAUUUACUGGGCGUAAAGGGCGCGUAGGCGGCCAGCACAGUCCAGUUUGGAAAUCUCCGAGCUUAACUCGGAACGGUCAACUGAUACUGUGCGGCUAGAGUGCAGAAGGGGCAACUGGAAUUCUUGGUGUAGCGGUGAAAUGCGUAGAUAUCAAGAGGAACACCUGCGGCGAAGGCGGGUUGCUGGGCUGACACUGACGCUGAGGCGCGAAAGCGUGGGGAGCAAACAGG